UUGUAUGGUUAAGUGACUAAGCGUACACGGUGGAUGCCUUGGCAGUUGGAGGCGAUGAAGGACGUAUUAACUUGCGAUAAGCCUAGUCAAGCUAGUAAAAAGCGCUUGAGACUAGGAUUUCCGAAUGGGGAAACCCACCUGCUUGCAGGUAUCUUGCACUGAAUACAUAGGUGUAAGAGGCGAACGCGGAGAACUGAAACAUCUAAGUACCCGCAGGAACAGAAAUCAACCGAGAUUCCGGAAGUAGCGGCGAGCGAAACCGGACCAGCCCUUAAGCUUAUUAUGUGUUAGUGGAACAUUCUGGAAAGUUUGACGAUACAGGGUGAUAGUCCCGUACACGAAAAUGCAUCUUAAGUGAAAUCGAGUAGGUCGGAGCACGUGAAACUUUGACUGAAUAUAGGUGGACCAUCAUCUAAGGCUAAAUACUCCCAACUGACCGAUAGUGAACCAGUACCGUGAGGGAAAGGCGAAAAGAACCCCUGUGAGGGGAGUGAAAUAGAACCUGAAACCGUGUACGUACAAGCAGUAGGAGCCCACUUGUUGGGUGACUGCGUACCUUUUGUAUAAUGGGUCAGCGACUUAUAUUUUGUAGCGAGGUUAACCGAUUAGGGUAGCCGUAGGGAAACCGAGUCUUAACUGGGCGUAUAGUUGCAAGGUAUAGACCCGAAACCCGGUGAUCUAGCCAUGGGCAGGUUGAAGGUUGAGUAACAUCAACUGGAGGACCGAACCCACUAACGUUGAAAAGUUAGGGGAUGACCUGUGGCUAGGAGUGAAAGGCUAAUCAAACCGGGAGAUAGCUGGUUCUCCCCGAAAUCUAUUUAGGUAGAGCCUCGGACGAAUACUUACGGGGGUAGAGCACUGUUAAGGCU
rnacentral:rRNA from 1 species